UACGUAGGGUGCGAGCGUUAUUCGGAAUUACUGGGCGUAAAGUGUGCGCAGGCGGCUGAGCAAGUCGAGUGUGAAAUCCCCGGGCUUAACUUGGGAAUUGCGCUCGAAACUACUUGGCUGGAGUAUGGCAGAGGAAGGUGGAAUUCCACGUGUAGCGGUGAAAUGCGUAGAGAUGUGGAGGAACACCGAUGGCGAAGGCAGCCUUCUGGGCCAAUACUGACGCUCAUGCACGAAAGCGUGGGGAGCAAACAGG
rnacentral:rRNA from 1 species